GGCUGGUCCGAAGGUGGUGUGAGUUACCUCAGUUGAUUGUUCACAGUCACAGAUCCAACUCCAGGUUCUACUUUUUCACCUUCCCACUACUGCAGUUGACUAGACUUGU
ensembl:misc_RNA Y_RNA Y RNA